AAAGAAUUAGUUAAAGUAUAAUCUAGGUUUGUCAAGCCUGAGUUGCCUGUGUGGUAUUCUUUU
rnacentral:tRNA from 1 species